CUUCGGUGCCCGAGUUGUAAUUUGGAGAGGGCAACUUUGGGGCCGUUCCUUGUCUAUGUUCCUUGGAACAGGACGUCAUAGAGGGUGAGAAUCCCGUGUGGCGAGGAGUGCGGUUCUUUGUAAAGUGCCUUCGAAGAGUCGAGUUGUUUGGGAAUGCAGCUCUAAGUGGGUGGUAAAUUCCAUCUAAAGCUAAAUAUUGGCGAGAGACCGAUAGCGAACAAGUACAGUGAUGGAAAGAUGAAAAGAACUUUGAAAAGAGAGUGAAAAAGUACGUGAAAUUGUUGAAAGGGAAGGGCAUUUGAUCAGACAUGGUGUUUUGUGCCCUCUGCUCCUUGUGGGUAGGGGAAUCUCGCAUUUCACUGGGCCAGCAUCAGUUUUGGUGGCAGGAUAAAUCCAUAGGAAUGUAGCUUGCCUCGGUAAGUAUUAUAGCCUGUGGGAAUACUGCC
rnacentral:rRNA from 1 species